rnacentral:rRNA from 1 species
GUACACUCCUGCGGGAGGCAGCAGUGGGGAAUUUUGGACAAUGGGCGAAAGCCUGAUCCAGCAAUGCCGCGUGUGUGAAGAAGGCCUUCGGGUUGUAAAGCACUUUUGUCCGGAAAGAAAUCCUUGGCUCUAAUACAGUCGGGGGAUGACGGUACCGGAAGAAUAAGCACCGGCUAACUACGUGCCAGCAGCCGCGGUAAUACGUAGGGUGCGAGCGUUAAUCGGAAUUACUGGGCGUAAAGCGUGCGCAGGCGGUUUGCUAAGACCGAUGUGAAAUCCCCGGGCUCAACCUGGGAACUGCAUUGGUGACUGGCAGGCUAGAGUAUGGCAGAGGGGGGUAGAAUUCCACGUGUAGCAGUGAAAUGCGUAGAGAUGUGGAGGAAUACCGAUGGCGAAGGCAGCCCCCUGGGCCAAUACUGACGCUCAUGCACGAAAGCGUGGGGAGCAAACAGGAUUAGAUACCCCUGUAGUCCCAU